UCCAGCUGCACUGACCAGAAAUCCCACCCC
rnacentral:piRNA from 1 species